UUAAUUUUCAGAAAUCAAAUUGCUACUUUAACAAUAGUGCUGACAUUUGAGUAAAAUGUGGUAAGUGCUAUUAGUUGGGGAAGUUUUAAGUA
rnacentral:pre_miRNA from 1 species